rnacentral:rRNA from 1 species
UACGUAGGGGGCUAGCGUUGUCCGGAAUCAUUGGGCGUAAAGAGCGUGUAGGCGGCCCGGUAAGUCCGCUGUGAAAGUCGGGGGCUCAACCCUCGAAUGCCGGUGGAUACUGUCGGGCUAGAGUGCAGAAGGGGCAACUGGAAUUCUCGGUGUAGCGGUGAAAUGCGUAGAUAUCGAGAGGAACACCUGCGGCGAAGGCGGGUUGCUGGGCUGACACUGACGCUGAUGCGCGAAAGCCAGGGGAGCAAACGGGG